CAGUUCUUCAAAAUGUCUGUAUAGGUAUUCCCAUUUCAGUCCCUGGGUCAUGAGCCAAACAGAGGUGAUGAGAUGAAGUUUUGUGAGCUCUAUAAUUAACAGAUGGUCUUCUGAGCAGCAGAAGUGAACCAGCCUGCUUUCCUGUGGAUCUAUGCCAUAUUUGGAUUCUUUUCUAAGAAGGAGGGAAUUCUUUCUCCAGUCUUUUGCUUACAAAAGGCUGUAUUCAGGGACUGAUGGUAGCAGACUUUCCAGAGUGUCCUUUCAUCCUGGCUUCCAUUAUGACACAGGACUUUCCUGAGCAACUCCUGGUACAGGGCACCAUCCUGAGGAAUGGCACAAAGGGGGCUGUCCAGCCUGUGGGAGCAGGGUGGGAGCCUUGAGAUGCUGCCUGGCUCCAUCCAACCACUUCUGGAGAUGGGAGCAGAUCUUGCCUGGUGCACAACCUAAGAGCACUCAAUGCUGGGGAGCAACCCUUUCUCUCAGCUCUGGGAACUGACCCUGCCUGACUGUUCCUGCCAGGCCAUGGAGAGAGAGCAGGGCUUGGAGCACUGCUGGUAUGGGCCUGGC
rnacentral:lncRNA from 1 species